AACCCGGUAGCUCAGUUGGUUAGAGCAUUGUACUUAUAGGGUAAACAUCCAUGCAAGCUAUGCAAUGGUCGCGAGUUCGACUCUCGCUCGGGUUA
rfam:Sphaerobolus stellatus SS14 unplaced genomic scaffold SPHSTscaffold_19, whole genome shotgun sequence.